UACGUAGGGGGCAAGCGUUGUCCGGAUUUAUUGGGCGUAAAGAGCGUGUAGGCGGCCAGACAGGUCCGUUGUGAAAACUCGAGGCUCAACCUCGAGAUGUCGAUGGAAACCGUCUGGCUAGAGUCCGGAAGAGGAGUGUGGAAUUCCUGGUGUAGCGGUGAAAUGCGCAGAUAUCAGGAAGAACACCUAUGGCGAAGGCAGCACUCUGGACCGACACUGACGCUGAGGCGCGAAAGCGUGGGGAGCAAACAGG
rnacentral:rRNA from 1 species